rnacentral:rRNA from 1 species
UUGGAGGGCAAGUCUGGUGCCAGCAGCCGCGGUAAUUCCAGCUCCAAUAGCGUAUAUUAAAGUUGUUGCAGUUAAAAAGCUCGUAGUUGAAUUUCGGGGUUAGUAGGUUGGUCAUGCCUCUGGUAUGUACUGGUCUCACUGAUUCCUCCUUCCUGAUGAACCGUAAUGCUAUUAAUUUGGUGUUGCGGGGAAUUUGGACUGUUGCUUUGAAAAAAUUAGAGUGUUUAAAGCAAGCUAACGCUUGGAUACAUUAGCAUGGAAUAAUGAAAUAGGACGUUCGAUCCUAUUUUGUUGGUUUCUAGGAUUGACGUAAUGAUUAAUAGGGAUAGUUGGGGACAUUAGUAUUCAAUUGUCAGAGGUGAAAUUCUUGGAUUUAUUGAAGACUAACUACUGCGAAAGCAUUUGCCAAGGAUGUUUUCAUUAAUCAAGAACGAAAGUUAGGGGAUCGAAGACGAUCAGAUACCGUCGUAGCCUUAACCAUAAACUAUGCCGACUAGGGAUCGGAUGAUGUUAAUUUUUUAAUGACUCAUUCGGCGCCUUACGGGAAAC